rnacentral:rRNA from 1 species
GAUUAACGCUGGCGGCGUGCAUAACACAUGCAAGUCGAACGAUGAAACUUAAAUGAUUUCUUCGGAAUGAACUUAAGUGGAUUAGUGGCGGACGGGUGAGUAACGCGUGAGUAACCUGCCUUACACAAGGGGAUAGCCGUUGGAAACGACGAAUAAUACCCUAUGAAACUAUCACUUCGCAUGAAGCGAUAGUCAAAGUGUUAGCGGUGUAAGAUGGACUUGCGUCUGAUUAGCUAGUUGGUGAGAAAAAAGCCCACCAAGGCAACGAUCAGUAGCCGGCUUGAGAGAGUGUACGGCCACAUUGGGACUGAGGCACGGCCCAGACUCCUACGGGAGGCAGCAGUGGGGAAUUUUGCACAAUGGGGGAAACCCUGAUGCAGCGACGCCGCGUGAUUUAGAAGGCCUUCGGGUUGUAAAAAUCUUUUGUAUAGGAAGAAAAUGACAGUGCUAUACGAAUAAGGUCCGGCUAAUUACGUG